GGAGGGGACAGCUCAGUGGUAGAGCGUGUGCUUAGCAUGCACGAGGACCUGGGUUCAAUCCCUGGUCCCUCCA
rnacentral:tRNA from 1 species